AUUGAACGCUGGCGGCAGGCCUAACACAUGCAAGUCGAACGGUAACAGGAAGCAGCUUGCUGCUUUGCUGACGAGUGGCGGACGGGUGAGUAAUGUCUGGGAAACUGCCCGAUGGAGGGGGAUAACUACUGGAAACGGUAGCUAAUACCGCAUAACGUCGCAAGACCAAAGGGGGGGACCUUAGGGCCUCUUGCCAUCGGAUGUGCCCAGAUGGGAUUAGCUAGUAGGUGGGGUAACGGCUCACCUAGGCGACGAUCCCUAGCUGGUCUGAGAGGAUGACCAGCCACACUGGAACUGAGACACGGUCCAGACUCCUACGGGAGGCAGCAGUGGGGAAUAUUGCACAAUGGGCGCAAGCCUGAUGCAGCCAUGCCGCGUGUAUGAAGAAGGCCUUCGGGUUGUAAAGUACUUUCAGCGGGGAGGAAGGGAGUAAAGUUAAUACCUGUGCUCAUUGACGUUACCCGCAGAAGAAGCACCGGCUAACUCCGUG
rnacentral:rRNA from 1 species